rnacentral:rRNA from 1 species
GUAGGGAAUCUUCGGCAAUGGACGGAAGUCUGACCGAGCAACGCCGCGUGAGUGAAGAAGGUUUUCGGAUCGUAAAGCUCUGUUGUAAGAGAAGAACGAGUGUGAGAGUGGAAAGUUCACACUGUGACGGUAUCUUACCAGAAAGGGACGGCUAACUACGUGCCAGCAGCCGCGGUAAUACGUAGGUCCCGAGCGUUGUCCGGAUUUAUUGGGCGUAAAGCGAGCGCAGGCGGUUAGAUAAGUCUGAAGUUAAAGGCUGUGGCUUAACCAUAGUACGCUUUGGAAACUGUUUAACUUGAGUGCAAGAGGGGAGAGUGGAAUUCCAUGUGUAGCGGUGAAAUGCGUAGAUAUAUGGAGGAACACCGGUGGCGAAAGCGGCUCUCUGGCUUGUAACUGACGCUGAGGCUCGAAAGCGUGGGGAGCAAACAGGAUUAGAUACCCUUGUAGUCC